UCCUUUGGGGAGGCCAUGGACUCCUUGGUCGAGCCUCGGUGGCCUCCGGGCCUGGAAGUUAUGAAGACAGUAGAUGAUUUGCUGCGGUGUGGAAUUUGCUUUGAAUAUUUCAACAUUGCAAUGAUGAUUCCUCAGUGUUCACAUAACUACUGUUCUCUCUGUAUAAGAAAAUUUUUGUCCUAUAAAACACAGUGUCCAACUUGUUGUGUGACGGUCACAGAGCCAGACCUGAAAAAUAACCGCGCAUUGGAUGAACUGGUAAAAAGCUUGAAUUUUGCACGGAAUCAUUUGUUGCAGCUUGCCUCAGAGUCACCACCCAUUUCUCCUGCUUCCUCCUCUUCAAAGAAUAUUGCUGCCAAAGCCCAUACUCCUGUAGCCUUCAAACAGCCUUUAAAGCAAGGAAGCAGGUUAAUGGAGAAUUUCUUGAUCAGAGAAACUAGUGGUUCUACAUCAGAGUUGAUAAAUGAGAAUGAAAGCAAAGUCAACCCUCAGAAGGAGGUGAGCAGUUCUGCAAAGACCAAAGAGACACCUUCUUUAGAAAGGACAGCUUCAUGUAUCGCGGGUGCUAAUGUUCCUGAGGUACCCUCUACAUCGACUUUGAAACAAGUUACUAAAGUGGAAUGUCCUGUGUGCGGGGUAGGUAUUCUAGAAGAUCACAUCAAUAAGCACUUGGACAGCUGUUUAUCCCGUGAAGAGAAGAAGGAGAGCCUCAGAAGUUCUGGUCACAAAAGGAAGCCGCUGCCCAAAACUGUAUAUAAUUUGCUAUCAGAUCGUGAUUUAAAGAAAAAGCUAAAACAGCAUGGAUUAUCUAUUCAAGGAAAUAAACAACAGCUCAUUAAAAGGCACCAAGAAUUUGUUCACAUGUAUAAUGCCCAGUGUGAUGCUUUGCAUCCUAAAUCAGCUGCUGAAAUAGUUCAAGAACUUGAAAAUAUGGAGAAGACUAGGAUGCGUCUUGAAGCUAGUAAACUCAAUGAAAGAAUAAUGGUUUUUACGAAGGACCAAACAGAAAAGGAAAUAGAUGAAAUCCACAGUAAAUACCGUAAAAAACAUCAGAAUGAAUUUCAGCUUCUGGUGGAUCAGGCCAAAAAAGGAUACAAGAAAACUGUUGAAAUGUCAAAAAAGGAUACAAGAAAACUGUUGAAAUGUCAAAAAGAAGAUGAAUCUACAAAAAUGCUGUUCCCUGUAUGCCUGGAACAGGAAGAUAAUAAAAUGAAAUUACCAGAUAUACCCUCAGUAAUAAACCACUUCCCUCAGCCAAAGCUGGACUCCCCAGGGAUAUGCGAGCCCGAUGGACCUGAUGAUUCUUCCAGCUGUACUGAUAUUCAAGAAGAUGCUCUUUCUUCAUCCGAAUCAGAUUCAUUCAAUAGAAUGAUUUCACCCCAGAGGAUGUGACCCAGCCUUUGCAUUUCAUCAUAAGUGACAGUUUACAAUGUGCCUCAUCCUCAUCAGUUAGCAUGUUUUUAUUAGUGAAUUUAUACUUGCAGAAGUGGUCCUCCAAGAACAAGAGGAACAGAUGUUCUGAGGUCUCUUUGGAGACCUUUAGAACCUGAGAAAGGAUGUUAGGAUACAAACAUUUUCAAGUUGGAAGGUACCUCAAGAAGUCACUACAUAUA